ACAGAGACUGCAAGCGUUAUUCGGAUUCACUGGGCGUAAAGGGUGCGCAGGCGGCCGAGUGUGUUAGAUGUGAAAUCCCGGGGCUCAACCCCGGAACUGCGUCUAAAACUACUUGGCUAGAGUAUUGGAGAGGGUAGCGGAAUUCACGGUGUAGCAGUGAAAUGCGUAGAUAUCGGGAGGAAGGCCGGUGGCGAAGGCGGCGCUCUGGAACAUACCUGACGCUGAGACACGAAAGCGUGGGGAGCAAACAGGA
rnacentral:rRNA from 1 species